rnacentral:rRNA from 1 species
CCUACGGGUGACAGCAGUGAGGAAUAUUGGUCAAUGGGCGAGAGCCUGAACCAGCCAAGUCGCGUGAGGGAGUACUGCCCUAUGGGUUGUAAACCUCUUUUGUCGAGGAGCAAAAUCCGGCCGUUUCCGGCUGUUAUAUUACCCUAAUAAACAACAUCGGCUAACUCCGGUCCAGCAACCGCGGUAAGACGGGGGAUGCGGGCGUUAUCCGGAUUUAUUGGGUUUAAAGGGUGCGCAGGGGGAUGUUUAAGUCAGUGGUAAAAUCUUGGGGCUAAACCCCAGACAGCAGUUGAAACUGGGGAUCUAGAGUGGGCGAGAGGUAGGCGGAAUGCGUGGUGUAGCAGUGAAAUGCAUAGAUAUCACGCAGAACCCCGAUUGCGAAGGCAGCCUACUGGGGUACAACUGACACUCAUGCACGAAAGCGUGGGUAUCGAACAGGAUUAGAUACCCCAGUAGUC